rnacentral:tRNA from 1 species
GCGGGUGCGCCGACGCUGGAGAGUCGGGGGCGGCUGUAAACCGUCCGCAUCGCUGAGCAGGUUCGAAUCCUGUCACCCGCA